GGGUCAUUGAGAUGUCAAGAAGGAAACUUCCCUCGUUUAAUCAAAUAAUCAGCUAGCUAAAUCUGCAGAGCCAACCUUUCUGACGAAGAAGAUGGCGAAAAGAAACAACCAUGCAGCAUCACACGUCGCAUUCAUGCUCUGUCACUUUGGAGAGGACAGCCAGCGGGUGAGACAAUGGACAACUUGACUGACCGAGCGGAGAAGAAAAAAGUUGUGGCAGUGGUGGGUGGUGGAUUGGUUGGUGCACUGAAUGCCUGCUUCUUUGCCAAAAGAGGUUUUGAUGUGCAUGUUUUUGAAACACGGGAAGAUAUCCGGCAAGCAAAAACUGUCCGAGGGAGAAGCAUCAACCUGGCUUUAUCUCACAGAGGCCGACAGUCACUGAAGCAUGUUGGAAUGGAGGAGAAGAUUGUGUCCCAGGGAAUCCCCAUGCAUGCAAGAAUGAUCCAUUCAUUAAAUGGGGUACAAUCUCCAAUCCCAUAUGGCAAGAAGGGCCAGUACAUCCUGUCAGUGGACCGAGCCAAUCUGAACAAGGAGCUGCUAACAGAAGCUGAGAGAUAUGCAAACACAAAGUUGAACUUUGAGUACAAACUACAGGACUGGAGUGUUGAAACAGGGCUAAUGACCUUCAUAAAGCCAGAUGGGUCCAAGCAAGAGAUAGAAGCAGACCUCAUUGUAGGAUGUGAUGGAGCCUUUUCAGCUGUCCGCAAACAAUUCCUUCGUCAAAGCCGCUUCAACUACAGUCAGACUUACAUCCCUCACGGCUACAUGGAGCUCACCAUGCCGCCCAUCAAUGGAGAGUAUGCCAUGAAGCCCAAUUAUCUUCACAUCUGGCCCCGAAACACAUUCAUGAUGAUUGCGCUCCCCAACAUGGACAAGACUUUUACCUGCACUCUCUUCAUGCCCUUUGAAGAGUUUCAGAAGAUCACCAAAGGAGAUGAAGUCAUUGGUUUUUUCCAGAAAUACUUCCCUGAUGCCAUACCAUUAAUAGGAGUUGAUGCUCUCAAAAGGGAUUAUUUCCGCCUGCCUGCCCAGGCCAUGGUCUCCAUCAAGUGCUCCCCAUAUCACAUUGGAAACAAAUGUGUCCUUAUGGGUGACGCUGCGCAUGCAGUGGUGCCGUUCUACGGGCAGGGAAUGAAUGCUGGUUUCGAAGACUGCAUGGUUUUUGAUGAAGUAAUGGAGAAGUUCAAUGAGGAUUUCGGUGCUGUACUGCCUGAGUACACCAGAUUGCGAGUUCCAGAUGACCAUGCAAUCGCAGACCUGGCCAUGUACAACUACGUAGAAAUGCGAGCACAUGUCAACUCUAAAUGGUUCCUUUUCCGAAAACGUGUUGAUAACAUCCUCCACUUUCUUAUGCCACAGAAAAUAAUCCCACUUUACACAAUGGUUACAUUCACCAGGACACGGUAUCAUGAAGCUGUGGCACGCUGGCACUGGCAAGACAAAGUGAUAAAUCGUGGACUGUUUUUUGGUGCAGCAGGAGCAAUUUUGGGAGGCUCUUACCUUCUCAUUAAAAAUCCCCCAGACAUCAACAAGCUCUGCAUCACCAUUGAGAAAGUUUGGAACAAGCUCACACCAUUUGGGACCUCUUGAGUACUCGGCACCAUUUCUCUGACCUGAUUGCGGUGAUUACAACCUGACUUGCGCUGGCCUGGGAACGCCUUGGUGUCCUCCCCGUGGAACUGGAAGAGGUGGUCGGGGACCAGGAAGUCUGGACUUCCCUACUGAGACUGCUGAUAAGCGGAAGAAAAUGGAUGGAUUGAUGGAUGGAUGGUCUGAGCUGUACAGGAGGAUGAGAAGUUCAGUCUCUGGGGAUCACAGUGGCUUCACUUGAAUGACGUUAACAGAAGACUCGACGGCAUUGGAAGUCACAUCUAAGCGGUGCAAGUCAUCACUGGUGAUGAUGAAGACGAUGGAGGAGGAGUUGAAGGUCACCUUCUUCUUGGGUCGUUUUCUGCUGUUGCAUGAACUUGAAACAACGAUGGGUCGGAUGGGGCGCUCGACCGGCUCCAGGGGCCGCUCUUUGAAGCUGCGCUGCAGCCAAGACAACCUUGAACACAGCAGCUGCA